ensembl:lncRNA
CCCAAACUCGCCACAUCAAAAUGGCACUGCUGAACGAAACUGCCGCACACUAUUUGACAUGGCCAGGUGUUUGCUAUUGGACAGUAAGCUACCAAAAGAGCUGUGGACGUACGCAGUCCAGAAAGCUGCUGUAGUGAGGAACAGAUGUUUUAACAACCGCACAAAGCAGACGCCUUACUCACUGCUUAAAGGGAAACGACCUAACUUGUCCAGAAUGCAGAAGUUUGGUUCAGAGUGUUAUGCUUACAAACAGGACAAGAGAAAAUUGGACGCAAGGUGUGAAAAGGGGAUUUUUGAUGGAUAUGACAAGAACAGUCCAGCCUAUAUGGUUUAUUUUUCUGACACUGGAAAAGUGCAGAAGCAUAGACUGGUGAAGUUUAUCAACAAAACAAACACGGAGAAACAGACACAAACUGACAUGACACCUGUCAAUGAUGACUUUGAGCUGCAGCAUAGAGUUACCAAUACCAGUAAAAAUACUGAUGCGAGUCCAGCCCAUACACAAGACCAGGUGCCAGUUCCUAUGCUUGAAGUGCAUUACAGAUUUCCUUAUCUAUUACACAGGGACAGCGAGUUACACAGAAUCCCACACCUCAAACAAAUGAGAACCAGCGCAAAACUAUAACAGCUAUCUAAAAAAUACGGUGUUUUGACGAGACCCAAGACUCUAUCGAACGCAUGGAUAUGCUUUUUAUGUCUGGCCGGUAAUAAAUACGGCUCCUAUGGCAGUUGACAAAACGUGUACCUUCUGGAUUUUUGUGAGAAAUAUGUCGGCAGAUUUGUAUUGGAGCCUAUGGGCUUUUGGCAGAGGUUGUGUCACUCUAACACUCCUUAAGCCAAAACUAAAGAACUCUGGGAUUCCAUGAACGCAUUAAUCCAAUCAGCACAACCAUGCCCUCAUUCAUCUAAAGAAAUGAAGCCUCUAGAGUGUAUACUUUGGCUGCAAGGACAGAAGUUCCAUAUUUUUUUAACCAGAUUUCUGCGAUGCCUCACACUCUAGCCCUCGAGGUCCCCACUCUAGCAGACGCAAUACACACUCAUGUAAAAGUCAGAAACGGAGCGAAGAACAAGUGAAACAUAAUCAGUGAUUAUGAAAAAAGUACAAUAGAUAUCAAGAAGCAGUUUUUUUCAUAAAAUAGUGGAGACUCGUGUCAACAUUUGAAAGUUGAAAUGGUGUCUGUAGCUGAAAGAUUGGCGAAGCUGAAGAAUCUGAAAGUUGAAGAAGUUGAAGAGGAUUUGGAAAGCAAACUCCAUUUG